UACAGAGGGGGCGAGCGUUGUUCGGAAUUACUGGGCGUAAAGGGCGCGUAGGCGGCCCGCUAAGUCGAACGUGAAAUCCCCAGGCUCAACCUGGGAACUGCGUCCGAUACUGGCAGGCUUGAAUCCGGGAGAGGGAUGUGGAAUUCCAGGUGUAGCGGUGAAAUGCGUAGAUAUCUGGAGGAACACCGGUGGCGAAGGCGGCAUCCUGGACCGGCAUUGACGCUGAGGCGCGAAAGCGUGGGGAGCAAACAGG
rnacentral:rRNA from 1 species